CUCUUUUUGUCAUAGCUCACGGGUAUAAGAGUUCUGUCAAUGAGACAAGGCAAGACAUGUUAGAAGGGGAGAAAAUGUAUUCACCCAGUCCAGCUGCUCAGACCUGCUCCGUGCUGGAAGCAGACAACAGGCAUUUCAGUUGCCUGGAAAGUAAGGGCAUCACUGGGCUGGAAGCCUACAGUGUACACAUUAGGCGUCCAUACCAGCCUGUGCCAUGGAGUCACAGAAGCCAUCCCCAACAAGGGUCCCACAUUCUACCCUGCAUGCACUGAAGGACACUGGAAAGUUCUGAGGGGGCAGAAGCAGGGCUAGGCCAUUGUGGGACAGGAAAGUGUGUACUGACCUUGCCCUCCCACCCUCCCUGUCCACUGUCGAUAACAGUGCUAGACUGUGGGAAGGGAAGGGUUUUCCCACCCCUGUGUGGUGUCAGUUAGAAGAGGAGCUCACCCAACCAACAGUAGCAGAGAGCCAUCCCAGGCCAUGGUCAUGGACCCCAGGGAGAAGCUACCAGAAACAAAGCAUCCUGGGAAAACCCACCUGCGCAUGUAGGGCGCACACAGUUUUAGGAGUCACUGCCCUCAAAGCCCACCUAUAGGCUCAGGAUUUAAAUUGGCCUGCCGGAGCGAGACAUGGUGGCAUGCAGCUAGAAUCACGUACUUGAAGGUAGAGGCAGAAAGAUUAGAAGUUUAAGACCAGCCUCAGCUACACAGUGAUUUUGCGGCCAGUCUAGGCUAUGAGAAACCUUGUCUCAGAAAACAAAGCUGAGGGCUAAAGAAACGUGGUUGGUGCUUAAAAUCAAUUUCUAUUCUUUGAAAGGAUGGGAGUUUGGCUCUCAGCACCCAUGGGUGUUCCAGCUGUAGGGCGUCAACACCUUCUUCUGGUUUUCACAGGUAAUUGUGUCUCUGUGCAUAGACACCCACAUAGACUACACAUAUAAAUAAAUAAUCAAUAUUUUCAUCAAGACCAAAGAAUAAAUAAACCGCUCUGGCUAGAGUGUAUAAAAGCAGCCAUUUUGGUGCUCUCUGUAAUAAUGUCUCCAUAUUUAAAACUUGUAUCCUUAAGGGAAAAGAUAUCUGCUUCCAAGAACAUCAGAAUUUGCAGCCCUCAGGGGCCAUGCAGAGAGACAGUGGCAGGAAGUUGUUUCACAGUUGACAGAGACACUGGACACUCAACGGAAGUCUCCAUGGCCCAAACCCGUGGGAACAUUGUCCUGUGAGAGGAAACCCCCAGUGACAUCAUGCCUUUGGCUAACAUCAGGUCACUUGUAGUAUAUAACAUUUUAAAGACAUUUGGUGUUCUAGAUGAUACUAGUGUAGAAAUAUUAAUUAGGUAAAAAAAAUAAUAGAGCACCCAAUUGUAAUAUAACCAACAAUGGUGGUACACACCUCUAAUCCCAACACUUGAGAGGAGGAAGGUGGAAGUUUGCAAGAUGAAGGGCAACCUGAGUAUACAGUAUUUAAUGAGAUGUGUCUCAAAAAAAAUCGUUUAAGUCUAAUUUAGUUUUCAAAGUAAGUUUGACAUUUAGUUGUAAAAUAAAAAAAAAAACAUAAAGAAAGAGAAGUAAAUUAUUAUCAAUUCCAAAGGUGAGUUCAUAGUGAAAGACCCCCUCCCAGAAAGGGAAUUGUACAAGCCCAAGGCCCUCAACUAUAGAAGUAAAAAGAAAGUUUUUAGAUACACAGACUCAGAACUAAAAUAAGCCUGGGAAGGUUCAGAUGUGUCCAAGCUUUGUGGGACAAGCUGACCCAUCAUUUAGACGAAACAGACCAUAAAAGAAAACAAAAUACAGAAACCAGUCUAAAUUAUUGAUAUUGCUUUAUGGGCCACCUAACAAGAGAUAAGCCUCUAGCCCCUGACAUUCCAGAUGCCCCAACCUGCACGUAUUCUCUUGCUGUGUGACAACCUCAUUUGAAUAGCCAAUUGGGUGUAACCAUACAUCCGCACCUCACUUGAAUCCACCAACCAUGCAUCUGCUUCUGUAAGCCUGCUUCUGCUCCCCAGUACCCUAUAAAAACCCGUCCGUCCCUGGUUCUGUUAGGCGCGCCAGUCUUCAGAAUUGACUGGGACGCCCACAGAUACCUGUGUAUCCUGAUCAGUAAAAAUCCUCUUGCAGAUUGCAGCCUGUGGACUCGGACUGGUCAUUGGGCUCGAGGAUCUCCCUCCUGAGGGAAGAUUCUCUCUGACAGUCUUACAUUAUGGGGGCUCGUCCGGGAUCAGAGAUCCUCUGCCUAGAGACCACCGACCACCCACUGGGAGUAACUGUUACAGGUCUUCUUUACCACCGAGGAAAGACAGAAUCCUACUAGAGGCCAGAAAGAUAAAUCCAGACAUGGAUGGAAGGCCCUCACUUCUGCCUGUUGACUUCAAUACGCCUAAAGGUAGGGAGUGCUCCAGGUCUGCCGCCAGACUCCAAGGGUGGGUCUCCGAGGGGCUGGAAAAUGCCCCACCAAUCUGGCUAAGGUAAGAAAAAGAUAUAAAGAAAAAGUUACAGAAAUUUGAAGGGUUAAGCUAAGUUGCUGAGAGUUAGUGUAAGUUACAGAGAAAGUAAAGUUGAAGUGUGGUUACAUAAGUGGACAGCAUCUAAUAGCUGUAGAGGAAGAUGCAGAAGAUAUGAGAGCGACUGAGAAAGAGAAAGAAAAAAGAAGGUAAAAAGAGCAGGAAGCUAAGGAAGAAAAGAGAAGAAGAAGCUAGAGAGCUAAAGAGGGAUAAAAGACAGGAGAGGAAUAUAUACUGGCCACAGUAGUUAGGGAACCUGGGAAGACAGUACCUGGCAACAGAAGAGAAUUCCUAGCUAAAGAUCAGUGUGCCUAUCACAAGGAAAAAGGAUACUGGGUGAGGGACUGCCCCAGAAAGAACAAGAGGGGUCUCUCCAGCAGCCCGGAAGGCAAGCCUCUUGGUACUAGAGUGCUGGCUAUAUACAGAGAUAGAAGGGAAGUGUGGCUACAGGGACCCAAUGCUCUGCUCCUAUGCCCCCCUAGUGGGGCCAAUAUCCAAAGACCUUGAGUGUAAGGGGCUACUGGCAAUGAACAAUACUCAUGGACUACCCGAAGAACAGUGGACCGUGGCGUGGGCCGGGUAUCCCACUUGUUCCUUGUGAUUCCAGACUGCCCCUACGAGUCUAAACCCUACAACCCUGCUCCUGGACCCCGACCUAGACACCCCCCUUCAUGACUGUCAGCAGGAGCUCACUAAAGAGUGGCAUAAAGAUCGGACUGAUCAGCCAGCAGAAGGGGUAGAUGUCAUCUGGUUCAUAGAAAAAGAUGGGCUGGGACAGCAGUGGUAGAUGGAAACAGAGUCAUUUGGGCUCAGGCCCUACCAGAAGACACCACUACUCAGGGGGUAGAGCUCGCUCCCCUCACCAAAGCCCUUGAGCUGAGAAAGAGACUUAACAUUUAUGUGGACAGCAGGUAUGCCUUUGCUACAGCCCAUCAGCAGAGGGGCCUGCUGACAUCUGAGGACAAGAAAAAGAGAUUCUGGCUAUGUUAAGGGCCCUCCAUGACCCAGCCAGGCCGAGGAAGAGACUCUGGUACACCUCAACGAGAAAGAAGAUCCUGCUACAAAAAUAGGCAGAGGCCAUGGUAAAACAAAUGCAUCAAUGGACUCACUUAGGGGUAAGCAAACUCAUCCAGACGUUUUCAAAAACUAAAUAUUAUGUCACAGGUCUCAAGUAUCUCGUGGAACAGAUAGUGCAGUGAUGUAUACCAUGCCAAAAGGUAACUGUUUUCAGGAAAGUUGACUGUGGUAGGAGACUCCGUGGGGAACGGCCUAGAUACUACUGAGAAGUGGACUUCACAGAGAUAAAACCAAAAAAAAUAUGAUUUCAAAUGUCUCCUAGUGUUUAUAGAUAUCUCUUCAGGAAUAGAUAGAAGCUUUCCCCACCAAGCAAGAGACGGCCUCAAUAGUCAUCAAGAAGAUACUAGAAGAAAUCUUCCACAGGUCUGGAGUGCCCAAGGUAAUCUGGUCAGACAACGGCCCUACUUUCGUUGCCAAGGUAAGCCAGGGUGUGGCCAAGUAUUUAGAGGUCGAUUGAAAAUUACAUUGUAUUUACAGACCUCAAAGUUCAGGACAGGUAGAGUAAAUAAAUAAAAUUUUAAAAGAGACCCUGACCAAAUUAACCAUGGAGACUGGCACAGAGUGAGUGACACUCCUUCCCUCUUGCUCUCUUCAGAGCAAGAAAUAUCCCUUCCAGAUUCAGCCUUAUCCCCUUUGAGAUCUUAUAUGGGGCCUCAGCUCCUCUGACUGUAUUAGAUGAUGUUAUUAAACCAACAUGUCAUAGUAAUAAUGAUUUAUGUGCCAGGCUAAAAGACCUACAGGUGAUACAGAAAGAAAACUGCUCACAGCUGACAGCAGCCUAUGCCCCGGGGACCCCUGAGACAUCUAUCUCAUCAGUUCCAGGUUGGAGACUGCAGCUACACGGAGCCCAGACACUUGAGCCUUGCUGGAAAGGACUGUACCUGGUGCUGCUGACCACCCUGACAGCCAUCAAUUCUCAGCCCUCACCAGCCACAUACUAGCUGUUGGGGCUGAGAGCUGGGACCUAGAGGGACACUCAGCAUGUUUGCCCUGGGUUCCAUCAAGAUAGGUGUAGAAAUAGGCUUGAUUUCUAUUACAAAUGAUGUAACAUUACAUAUGUUAGUACUCCUAACACUUCUUGGGACUGUGCCUCAGGGAUCACAACCUAUAUAAGUUUAGAAGUUCUAAAAGACCUUGGUGUAUAGGUUCAGAUAGUGUCCAGAUUGGAAUCCUGAUGCUAAAGACUUAAUAAGACACAAAAGAGAGUUAAGAAUUAUUUAAGGCGUCUCCAACGCGUGUGAAAGUUCGAGACAGCUGUGUCAUUCACUGGCAAUAAAAAGUAACAAGUGUCGACCAGCACGUGAAAGAAUAAACAAGACGUGACCCUGCAAUCCUGUGAGGCAUCAUUCCACGGACAAGGAAUGAAGUAAAAACACACCGCAAUGGGGACCGACCUCGGAAAGCUCGCUGAAAGCGGUUAGCCGGACAGAGAAGUGCCUUGUGAGGGCAGGGCCCAUCCAGAACAGGCAGAUCCGCAGACAGAAGGCAGUGUGGAGGAACGAAGAUCAAUGAAAACACAGCUUCAGUUUCGGUCUUUGAAAGUGUUGGGAAGAGCAGUGACGCCUACACUAAAUCAGAAAUCCACGUUGUGUCCUUGAAAAGUUCAACUGAAAGUUGUUUAAAUGAAAAAUUCGGUGUAAUAUAUUUUGUACUACAGAAAGAAAGAAAUAAAAGAAAACUUGAGCUGGGGAGAUGGCUCAGUGGUCAAGAGCACUGACUGGUCUUCCAGAGGUCCUGAGUUCAAAUCCCAGCAACCACACAGUGGCUCAUCUCUAAUGGGAUCUGAUGCCCUCUUCUGGUGUUUCUGAAGACAGCGACAGUGUACUUAUAUAUAAUAAAUAAAUCUUUAAAAAAAAAAAAAACUUUUUCGGUCCCCAGCUCUGAAAAAAAAAAUGAAAAAAAAAACUUUUAAGGGGGCUGGCGAGAUGAUCUUGGUAGAGAUCCUUGCUACCAAGCCUGGUGACCUGAUUUCAAUUGUGCCCUGGAGUGUACACACAUGCCAUAGCACAUGUGUGUAUGAAUGCACACACACAUACAAACUAAGUCAACUAAUGUCAUCAGCGUCUAAGAUUUAAAAGUAAAGCAGUGGUUGAAACAGAGAACCACCAUUUUUACAAGUUUCUGUUAGGGAGUAGACUUCUGUCACUGGCGUUUGGGCCCCCGUUGCUGUGGCCAAGGGUGGGUUACUGAACGCUCGUCUUAUUUUUAUGUUGAUUUCUAUUUGUGCAUGUAUAUGCCACAUGUGUGUGUGUGUAGGGGCUGGUAGAGGCCAGAAGAAUGUGCAUGAUCCUACAGAACUAGAGCUACAAGCGGUUGUGAGCACCUGACAUGGGUGCUGGGUUGGCCAGACUUGAUCCCUUGGCAGAGCCAUGUCUCCAGCGCAUUGAUACAUACUGUAAUGCAAGCCUCAUUGAAUGCUGUAGAAGCCGUGACAGGAGAUGGAGAGGUGAAGAUACAGAUAUCAACAGAUUCAAAGCUAGAGUCUUGAUGACCUUGGCCUUUGACUCCCUCAUUCCACUCUAAGAACAGACCUAGGCUGGAAAGAGUGACAAAGGCCAGACGUCUCCUAGGUCUGGAUCUGUCUGCCUAGGCCUCCAGCCCUUGGACAUCUGCAAAUCUGGGCAACAUCCACAAAGGGUGCAAAGGGUCCAGGAAGUUCCCACACAGAAAGCUUAGUCCAAAGCUGCAUUUUCUAUAGAAACUGGAGUUUAUAAGAACGGCUGACGUAAAGCUUGGGCAGGUUAGGCAAUUCCAGGAGCUACUUUGGAACAGAAUUGACAAAUAGAGUCUGGAGUAGUGCCAGGUGGGACGGGUGUUACAGAAGGAAAAGAAGAAAGGGCAUUCGAGCCUUCGCCAAGUGCUAGACUCACUGUACAGGCCAAGCGGAGAGAAGACCUAAAGUAUCUAUUGGGUUGAUGAGUUUGUGUUCAGAAUCUCACUCACCUCUCAUAGCAGAUCAGAACUGAGAACACAGAGACCUAACCCUCACUCUGGCACACACAGCUUACUAUAAGAGGGAAUGAGAGUCAGACCCCAGCAUUGGGUUCCUACCACCUGACCACCAGGAUCAACCUCACUCUUUUCUACCCUGGAUCCAUUGAUAACCACAGAAGAGGUUGUGUCAAAAUUCUGAUGAUCUGAGGACACUGAGUCACUAUAAUGUUGAGUUGGAAAAAAAAAAGUGAGACCCUGGGUUUAAUCCCAGCACUGCUAAGACAAAAAGAGAACAAUUUCUGUCCAUGCAAGACUCGGUUGGCCAGGGGUUGGGGAUUUGGCUCAGUGGUAGAGCGCUUACCUAGGAAGCGCAAGGUCCUGGGUUCGGUCCCCAGCCCCGGAAAAAAAAAAAAAAAAAAAGAAAAAAAAAAAAAAAAAAAGAAAGAAAAGACUCGGCUGGCCAAAGAAGAUAAACAGAAGCUGUCAGAAGCCUGGGAGGCUGGGAGUGGAGAGGCCAGCAUGGCCUCAGCUGCAGGUUCUUCACCAUCCAUUUAUUCAAAGCCUUUAGCAUCCACAACAAUCCAGCAGAAACCAUCAGCACAAGGCUUGCCCUGGCCUUGACUUCUACAGCGAAGCAGCACUGGGUUAGCACACAGGACACCCAGAAGGUCAUCCUCACACCACACCUCUCUCCCCUCCGCCUCACUCAGGCCACACCAGCUGUUACAAACAGAUAAAGUCAAGGCUACAGAGACCACCAGACCAGCCUCAAGAGUAGAUAGAUUACUGGAUAAACAUGCUUGUCUUUAGGAACCAGUGUGCAAUGGAGGCUUAAGAAUCAAGAGGCUAGGGUUUGGGGAUUUAGCUCAGCGGUAGAGCACUUGCCUAUCGAGCACAAGGCCCUGGGUUCAGUCCCCAGCUCUGGAAAAAAAAAAAAAAAAAAAGAAUCAAGAGGCUAGCCAAGCUUUAAAAAAAAACUUGCAAACAGAAAAGAAACUGAGCUGGAAGUGAACGACUGCCCGGGAAUGGGCAAGUGAGUGUGCGCGCUGCCCCUGGAUGGUGUGAGCGCUGCCACUGGAAGGUGUGCACACGGUGGGAUACUAGGAGCCUGGAAAGAAAGGCUAUACCAACGAUGUGACAGCAUGGAUGGACUUUGAGGAGAUUCUAUACUAUGUGAAGAAGAGUGGUCUUCAGAGGACAAAUACUGUGUGAUCCACUCUACCAGGUUUCUGCAGCCACGUUCCUAAAAAAAACAGGCGCUGACAGAAGGGUCUGAGGAGUGCGCGAUGGAUGAAGUCUUAGAUUUUAUUUAGUUGGUUUGAGUUUGUUCACUCAAACCUUGAUUUUUUAUUUAUUUAUUUUUUAUUUUUUUUUUUUGAUGGAGGUCUCACUAUGUUCCCAAAUCUGACUUAAAAUUCCUGAGCUCAAGGCUGGGCGGGGAGGUGCUCAAACUUUAAUCCCAGCACUUGGGAGGCAGAGGCAGGCAGAUCUCUGGGUUGAAGGCCAUGCAAGUCUGCUCAGCAUGUUCCAGGCCAGCGAGAGCUAGGAGCUGAGCUUCUACCAAAACAAAACAUGGAGUUCCUGAACUCUAGUGACACGCCCAUCUCAGCUUCCCAGGUCAGCUAACACAACAGUCAGGCACCAGCUUGAGAUGAAAAGCCACUGGGGACGGUUAGGUUACACGACACAUGAAUACGUUUAAUGUAAUUGAAAUGUAUCCAGAAAGUGGUAGAUUCUAUAUUAUAUAUAUUUUACCAUGAGAAACUGGACUAAAAACUUGCCCUACUCCUCUCCGAGAUCCAAAGUAGAUCAUACUUCAGACUCUGGUGCUGGUGAUGGCUCAGGGCAGGCACAGUCACUAGAGUAAUGGCAUCCUAUGCAGGGGGGAGGGGGGGACGACAGGGCAGGAUGUGUGGAGACAGAGGGUAUACGGGAAACCUCUGCGCCUAUGCUUAAUUUCCCUGUAAAUCUAAAACUGCCCUUUGUGUUGGAGACACAACUCAGAGACGGAGUGCUUGCUUGGCAGGCGUGAAAUCCUCGGUUCAAUGCUCAGUGUGCGUUUCCCCCAACAAGCAGUCCAUCACAUACUCAGUUGAUCUCAUUUGAACCCUCUCCCCAUUUUUAACUGGUCAAUAAAGGCUAGAGCCUGUGAUUGGACAGUGGAGGGGAAGAGUGGGACUGGAGGUGUGAAAGUGGGGUUAGGUAGAGGGAGAAGACUAUGAGAGAGGAAGGAGGGAAGACAGAGGAAGAGGAGGAAGCCAUGAUGGACCAGAACCACGAGGCCAGGAGAAACCAAAAGUAGCAAGAGGUCUCAUAGCUAGGGAAUAAAUUACUGUAGUGUUAGAUCUGCCCAAUCUAGGCUUAUAAUUUGUAAUUAUAAUAACAGGAUUGUGUGUUUUGUAUAAGGGCUUAUUGGGGUUGGAAAUUCCAGCAACGCAUCGGCACUCAUGUGCAUGAAUGAACACACACACACACACACACACACACACACACACACACACACAGAGAGAGAGAGAGAGAGAGAGAGAGAGAGAAAUGGCUAACACUGCCCUAAAAACAAGCAAAUAACAAUGAAAAGGGUGAGGGUGCUCGCCAUACAAACCUGGCAGCCUGAGUUCAGUUGCUUGAACAAAGUGAGCAAGUGAGAAGUUCCUACUGACAUUGCCCUCUGACCUCCGUACACACUUACCAUAAAGACUCACACCCUCCCUUAGCCCUCUCCCACUAAAGUUUAAAAAUAUGUGGGGCUGUAACUCAAUAAUGAGUGUGCUCGUUAGCACUCGUGAAGCCCUGAGUUCAGUCACCAGCACAGCAUAAAACAGUGCAUGGCUACCCAUGCCCAAAAUCCCAAUGUAUCAGGAGUGUAAGAUCCCCUCUGCUUCAAAAUAAUUCUGAGGCCAGCCAGGGAUACUCAAGACCUUUUUUCAAAAACAAACAAACAACAGCAAAGCCGUUGGCACCGUGGAACCUCCUAUAGUCCCAGUGUAAGAUCAAGCUGUGCCUAGGUUAGACCAUAUUAUGCAACAGGGUGGUUUUGAGGCCACACCUUGCUGUGGAAGAAUCCAUCUCAUAAGCCACGUUUGUGAUCAGAGGAAGAGACAGGACGAUUUUGCACGUAUGUGUGUAAACAACACCAUCCACCCAGCAGCACCCACAAGAUGCACUCUGCCGAACAACUUAAAAAUGGAAGGGAUUCUAUCCCAGGAGCUCACAAAUUGUGGAGAAAGAGAGCUGACUCCAGAGAGUUGUCCCCUGCCUCCGCGUGCACCACUCUCUCUAUAGCACACGUAACGUGCACACACUAAUGGUAUUUGUUAAGGGGGCAGGGCUGGAAGAGAACUCCUGACUAUCCCAGGGGCUUCAGCUUGUCUCAGUCCCUGCUGCUAAAUGGGUCCAUCUAGACCCACUCUGUAUUUAGCUUGUAUGGCUUCUGUAGUCUAACCCCUCAACUGGACAGCUCAACUCGACCCUGAAGUUGCACUCUAGCUGCACCUCUGACAGAUUCUCUUUGCAUCUGUGUGUUUCUGCUUGCCUACCUUCAACUCUUUGUCAACACUUCCCACUCUGCUGCAAUGGCAGCUUUUUAUGGCCAUUUUGUAAUCUACACACAUCAGAUUUCCUGUGUGAUGUGUUAAGAAAGUGUGACCUGAGAGUUAAUGGCAGUAAUUACAGUUGGAAUUAAAAACAAUCUGUUUGCCAGUGA